rnacentral:lncRNA from 1 species
CCUCAGACUGCUUCCUUCUUAUAAACUCUUGGUUCCUUAUUUAUCGUUUUUUUGUUUUUGAUUUUUAAGUUGUCUGACCUGAUUUUAUCAUAGUAGUUCCAAAUGCCUUACAGCCCAGUGGAGUCAAGCUAAGGAAGGACAGCAUGAUUUCCACAGGAUUUGUAUUUCUUCCCUCUGGAUAAAGUGAUAGUAGAUCCCAGACUCACUGCCAGCAGGAUCCAAGGUGGUCUUUCCUCCAGUAUUUAAUCUGGUGUCAUCAGGAACCUACACUCAGGUUUUAUUGGAGAGCAAGCCUCAAUAAGAAGUGUGCUUUGAGGAGAAUCAAGGACUUAAUCUAGGCAUAAAAGGUGUUGCUCAGCACAAUACCCUCUACGAGACUGUGUGUAUAUCGCGAGUCGGAGGCCAAACACACCGUAUUUCAUCUGUAGCAUUCAAGACUUCAAACUGGUCCACAACUCCCAAGCCUGUUGCAGAUCUCCAACUCCUGCUUUGUGUGACCCCCGCAGCAUGCUCUCUGCCGGUGGCAUCACAGUCACCACAGCAUCUUUCUGAAGCUAGGAGAGGGCCUGUAGGGGAGUAACAAGUACAUGCACAGAGGAAGCAAAAUACGGGACUUGCCUUACCCCUCUAGGACAGUUCCAGAAGUUAGCGGGGUUUGGUGGAAGGGUAUUUUGGCACCAGCAGAGAGCAUGCUGGGCUGCUGCAAGGAGCAGGAGCUGGCAAUCAACAGCGAGUUUGGAUGUUGGCAACUGAAAUGGGGAGAAAAGGGGGUAAGUUUGAGUUCAAGUGUGGAAUGUGAAUUUCCCCAGGCUCAUUGGGACUCAUGACCCACAAAUCUAAACUAUUUUGGGUGUUGUCCUCUCGGGUGACAUUUUGUAGGGUGUUGCUCAGAAAUAGCGAGGCUUUUCUCCAGUGCUAGAUGCAGAAUACGCACUUCAAGAGGCUUGGGUCGGGCUGUAGCUAUACUUCUUAAGAGCUAUCCCUUGGUUAUUCCUCUGUUACUAGUGGUGGUCCUGAGGGAUGUGUAAGAGGCAGCAGGAUGAAGUAUCUGUAGUGCUUUAUCCCUUAAAGCACAGGAACCCAUGUGGGUGAUCAUAGGGGUUAUUAUUGUGUAGUGCAUCUCCCUUUUUAGGAAAGUUCACACUUGUCUUCCUUUUUUUUCCUGUAAUCGUAGGACUUAAUGGAGGACUUAAUGGUAAUGUUUUCUGAAAGUCGAGUAUUUAUUAUUCCGAAUGACUACUGGGUUAACAUGAAAGAAGUGUAGUUUUAGUUAAGCAUUGAAGUCAGUGUGAAGAAGUGACUGUGGCUCCCCAGUUCAUACUGAAUUAGCAAAUAAUACAAGAGGAUAGCAAGCUCUCUCACACUUAGACACACACAAUGCAGCAUACUGUCAAUAUACAGUGAAUUGUUCAGUUGCAGUGCAGAAUAUUAAUAUCUUGGGGUGAAGAAAAGAAAGUGCUCCAGAUGGGAUGUGGCACUUGGGGAAGUUCUGUGAAGGUGGGUAGGUUUUGAGGAGCUGGGUAUGUUUUUCACACAUCAAUAAGAAGUGGAUAGGCAGAGUAUAGGAGCCUUGCAGGUGUACCUGGCAGCCUGUCCUUAUAAGCAACACAGGCAGUGAGGCUGACGAGUCUGGGAGUUGUGAGAAGAUGACCCGCAGGACGUCACUGAAGAGCAUGGGUUAGUGGAUUUUGGGAGGCAGAUGUGGAGAUAUAAAAUGGGGCUAGAUUAUAGAGAAUCUUCAAAGUUAGCAAAGUUAAGAUUUUGUGUAAUAGGCAGUAGAGAGCUUGUGUAAGCUUUUUUAUUCGAGAUGAGCCAUCUUGCAGACCACUGCUUAAGAAGACUGACUGUGGCAGUUUGCAGUGUGGAAGGGGGAAAGAUGGUGAAAGCUCCAAGUAGGAGGCUAGGGCUGCCAUUCGUGGGUAAGAUGAAGAGGACCAAGACAGUAGAGAUGAUAUAUAGAUAAUUGUAACCAAAUCAGGAGUAAUUGUUGGAACAGCAUAACACAUUUACAUAUUUGCUGAUGUAAUUACUCAAGGGUCAUAUCAUAAAAAGGGGUGGGGGUUUCACAUUAUGGAAACCUUGGAAUUCUCUGUCUUACGGUGGAAGACAGAACCCAGUGUAGUGUAGACAAAAGUCUAAUUUUAAUUCCCAGAGAAAGACUGAUAUCUUAUGGGACAAAUUAGUAUAUUCCCAUUCCUAAUAAUGGUGUACCUAGCUGGUGGGUAAUUGCAGGCUUUCAACCUCCAGUUCAUCUUCAUGAGAUCAAUGUUGAUUCAGAACAAUAAGUGUCAGGUCUAUGACACCUUUAAAGUUAUGCUUAAAUGUGAGUCUGUGACCACUAAUGAAUGACUACAGUUGUUUCAUGACUUGCUAAACAUACCUGGUUUUUCACAAGCAAUAGAUUUUUGAAGGAGAGGUAUUCACAGUGGGUGCUAGGAAGAUACACACAUUAAUUCUGUAGAAUUUAGCUAAAAUGUGUUCAGCCUAAGGGAUGACAUUAACAGAGACUUGUGAUCCUGCUUUGCAUCUCAUGAGUGCUGAGCAGUUGGUAGAGAUGGAUGGUAUUUUCC